rnacentral:lncRNA from 1 species
AUUUAGAAAAGUUACGCCGCGUCAGGUACCCGAUCAGCAGUCCCGACCAAUCAGAAUGCGCCAGGUGGCAGAGGCGUUGACGUGGACGAUUUGUAACGACCCCGGAAAUUUUAAUAAGAAAAGCAUAUAGAUAAUUAAUCUGAAUUGCGGAAGCGUAAUAAAUAUUGCAAUUAACAUCCCUUACACAAUGCCAAAAAUG